rnacentral:lncRNA from 1 species
AUUGUUCAAAUCUAGUCUUUAAAGAUAAAAUAGCAAUAUCAACUGUAACAAGAAAAUAAUUGAUCCUAAAAUACUAUAAGUAAUUUUUUUUAUUUAUUUAUUGUAGGGUAUAUAAUAUAAGUGGGCCUAAAUUUUGGGGCCCCCAAAAAUUGGGGGCCCUAGGCUAUUGCCCCACCAAAUGUUAAUAAGGGCCGGCCCU